AUACAUAUAAAAAAGAAUAUUAAGCUUGAUGAUUGGGUUUUCACACUUAUGUGUGAGAUGUGCCUACCUCAAACCUUGUUACCAUGUUGGCACAUUACCUGUCUGACA